rnacentral:lncRNA from 1 species
AUCCCCUAGUUCUUCUGGAUCCGGCUGAUGAAAAGCUUUUGGAAGAGGAGAUUCAGGCUCCCACCAGCUCCAAGAGGUGAGGUGGUCCCCAUAGGUACUGGGUGGACUUUACCAAGCAUGGGACCCUGAGGUGCCUGGUUUUCCUCUCCAGAUCCCAGCAGCAUGCGAAGGUGGUGCCGUGGAUGCGUAAGACAGAGUAUAUUUCCACUGAGUUCAACAGAUAUGGCAUCUCCAAUGAGAAGCCUGAGGUCAAGAUUGGGGUUUCUGUGAAACAGCAGUUCACAGAGGAAGAAAUAUACAAAGACAGGGACAGCCAGAUCACAGCCAUUGAGAAGACUUUUGAAGAUGCCCAGAAAUCGAUCUCCCAGCAUUACAGCAAGCCCCGAGUG